UACGUAGGGCGCGAGCGUUGCCCGGAAUUAUUGGGCGUAAAGAGCUCGUAGGCGGUCUGUCGCGUCUGCUGUGAAAACUCAGGGCUUAACCCUGAGCUUGCAGUGGGUACGGGCAGACUAGAGUGCGGUAGGGGAGACUGGAAUUCCUGGUGUAGCGGUGAAAUGCGCAGAUAUCAGGAGGAACACCGGUGGCGAAGGCGGGUCUCUGGGCCGUAACUGACGCUGAGGAGCGAAAGCAUGGGGAGCGAACAGG
rnacentral:rRNA from 1 species